rnacentral:rRNA from 1 species
UACGUAGGGUCCGAGCGUUGUUCGGAUUUACUGGGCGUAAAGGGCGCGCAGGCGGCUCUUCAAGUCAGAUGUGAAAGCCCCGGGCUCAACCUGGGAACUGCAUUUGAGACUGAAGAACUCGAGUUCGGGAGAGGAUGGCGGAAUUCCCAGUGUAGAGGUGAAAUUCGUAGAUAUUGGGAAGAACACCGGUGGCGAAGGCGGCCAUCUGGACCGAGACUGACGCUGAGGCGCGAAAGCGUGGGGAGCAAACAGG